AUUGAACGCUGGCGGCAGGCCUAACACAUGCAAGUCGAGCGGAUGAAGGGAGCUUGCUCCUGGAUUCAGCGGCGGACGGGUGAGUAAUGCCUAGGAAUCUGCCUGGUAGUGGGGGAUAACGUCCGGAAACGGGCGCUAAUACCGCAUACGUCCUGAGGGAGAAAGUGGGGGAUCUUCGGACCUCACGCUAUCAGAUGAGCCUAGGUCGGAUUAGCUAGUUGGUGGGGUAAAGGCCUACCAAGGCGACGAUCCGUAACUGGUCUGAGAGGAUGAUCAGUCACACUAGAACUGAGACACGGUCCAGACUCCUACGGGAGGCAGCAGUGGGGAAUAUUGGACAGUGGGCGGAAGCCUGAUCCAGCCAUGCCGCGUGUGUGAAGAAGGUCUUCGGAUUCUAAAGCACUUUAAGUUGGGAGGAAGGGCAGUAAGUUAAUACCUUGCUGUUUUGACGUUACCAACAGAAUAAGCACCGGCUAACUUCGUG
rnacentral:rRNA from 1 species